AGUGAACGCUGGCGGCAGGCCUAAUACAUGCAAGUCGAACGGCAGCACAGUGGAGCUUGCUCCAUGGGUGGCGAGUGGCGGACGGGUGAGGAAUACAUGGGAAUCUGCCCAGUCGUGGGGGAUAACGUAGGGAAACUUACGCUAAUACCGCAUGCGCCCUUCGGGGGAAAGCCGGGGACCUUCGGGCCUGGCGCGAUUGGAUGAGCCCAUGUUCGAUUAGCUAGUUGGCGGGGUAAAGGCCCACCAAGGCGACGAUCGAUAGCUGGUCUGAGAGGAUGAUCAGCCACACUGGGACUGAGACACGGCCCAGACUCCUACGGGAGGCAGCAGUAGGGAAUAUUGGACAAUGGGCGCAAGCCUGAUCCAGCCAUGCCGCGUGAGUGAAGAAGGCCCUCGGGUUGAAAAGCUCUUUUGUCCGGGAAGAAAAGCAUCGGGCUAAUACCUCGGUGUUCUGACGGUACCGGAAGAAUAAGCACCGGCUAACUUCGUG
rnacentral:rRNA from 1 species